CUGUGAUUAGGCGUACUGUUCCAGUACUUCGUAUUAAUGUACAACUAAAUGAACUAAUUAUUAAAAAGUAAACAGACCUUUAAACUGAAGAACUUGACUGGCUUGUAUACAUUGGUUUCUUUGUCAUAUAGUUCAAUUGCUGUUGCUUGUAAAUGUUUUAUAAACCAGUACUGCGAAGUAGCGAAAUUUCGGGCCGUCUUUCACAACAAAUAACAUCACAAUAACUGCACAUCACUUUCUCUUUAAUACAGAAUCAUUUUCCCCGUCCAUUGAGUUAUAAUUUCCAAAACGAACCAGUCGCUAUAACGUAAAAUAAGCGGGUAUUUGUGAACAAAAAUGCCCUUUGAUAAGACACGAGGUAACCAGCGCCAUCUUGUCUUCUCCAAACAUUACAGAUUUUCCCGCCAAAACCCGCCCCCAAAGUCCCGUAUGUACCUGACGUCACAAGUGUCAUCGACGGGGGGGGGGACUACCAUAUUUGGUGGUAAAUUUUUUUCAAAAAUACGCACUAAAUCCAAUUUUAAUCUCUUUACCUUCGCUACUUUUGCUUUCCACAUGCCAACAAAACUAGCUUCUUAGCACAUACAUAGCAUACGCUUUAUAAAAUACUUAAAAAAAUGGACCUAAACAAUAUUGGAGCGACAACAAUUUUGGAAAGUUUCUCCGGAAAUUUUUCUCACUUGAUGAAAAAACUUUUUCAUCUCUUUUUUUCUUUUCUUUUUUUCACAUUAUUGUACGUUGGAACAGCACUAUAGUAUCAAUAGUAUCAAUAUAUAUAUAGCCUUAGAAUGUUAUAUAUUUUAUGGCAAUAUUUUAUAAAAAU